rnacentral:rRNA from 1 species
AUUGAACGCUGGCGGCAGGCCUAACACAUGCAAGUCGAGCGGAUGAAGAGAGCUUGCUCUCUGAUUCAGCGGCGGACGGGUGAGUAAUGCCUAGGAAUCUGCCUGGUAGUGGGGGACAACGUUUCGAAAGGAACGCUAAUACCGCAUACGUCCUACGGGAGAAAGCAGGGGACCUUCGGGCCUUGCGCUAUCAGAUGAGCCUAGGUCGGAUUAGCUAGUUGGUGAGGUAAUGGCUCACCAAGGCGACGAUCCGUAACUGGUCUGAGAGGAUGAUCAGUCACACUGGAACUGAGACACGGUCCAGACUCCUACGGGAGGCAGCAGUGGGGAAUAUUGGACAAUGGGCGAAAGCCUGAUCCAGCCAUGCCGCGUGUGUGAAGAAGGUCCUCGGAUUGUAAAGCACUUUAAGUUGGGAGGAAGGGCAGUAAGUUAAUACCUUGCUGUUUUGACGUUACCGACAGAAUAAGCACCGGCUAACUCUGUGCCAGCCGCCGCAGUAACAC